rnacentral:rRNA from 1 species
GAUGAACGCUGGCGGCGUGCCUAAUACAUGCAAGUCGAGCGAACGGACGAGAAGCUUGCUUCCCUGAUGUUAGCGGCGGACGGGUGAGUAACACGUGGAUAACCUACCUAUAAGACUGGGAUAACUUCGGGAAACCGGAGCUCAUACCGGAUAAUAUUUUGAACCGCAUGGUUCAAAAGUGAAAGACGGUCUUGCUGUCACUUAUAGAUGGAUCCGCGCUGCAUUAGCUAGUUGGUAAGGUAACGGCUUACCAAGGCAACGAUGCAUAGCCGACCUGAGAGGGUGAUCGGCCACACUGGAACUGAGACACGGUCCAGACUCCUACGGGAGGCAGCAGUAGGGAAUCUUCCGCAAUGGGCGAAAGCCUGACGGAGCAACGCCGCGUGAGUGAUGAAGGUCUUCGGAUCGUAAAACUCUGUUAUUAGGGAAGAACAUAUGUGUAAGUAACUGUGCACAUCUUGACGGUACCUAAUCAGAAAGCCACGGCUAACUACGUG